GAUGAAGGACGUAGCGAAAUGCGAUAAGUAAUGUGAAUUGCAGAAUUCAGUGAAUCAUCGAAUCUUUGAACGCACAUUGCGCCCGCCAGUAUUCUGGCGGGCAUGCCUGUUCGAGCGUCAUUUCAACCAUCAAGCCCCAGGCUUGUGUUGGGGACCUGCGGCUGCCGCAGGCCCUGAAAACCAGUGGCGGGCUCGCUGUCACACCGGGCGUAGUAGAUUUUAUCUCGCUCAGGGCGUGCUGCGGGUUCCGGCCGUUAAAAAGCCUUUUUUACCCAAGGUUGACCUCGGAUCAGGUAGGAAGACCCGCUGAACUUAAGCAUAUCAAUAAGCGGAGGA
rnacentral:misc_RNA from 1 species